UCAUAUACAUAUGUAUUUUUUUCGAAAAAAUUUUGGGAACGUGUGCAAAAGCAGCAAAGUUAAUUUCCACAGGGGAAAUUAAGGCUGCGUUACACAGCUAAAGGCAGGGGAUUCAGGGGAAUCCAUCUGUAGUCAGGGGACUGCAGAAAUUUUUUUUUGGGUUCAGCGUGAUCAAGACGUUCUUGGAAACUGAAUCACGUUGGGACAGUUAAGACAUUUCCAAGGGGAGGUUUCUGGUAGGGAAAUCUAAGCUGUGUCACACACAAAAGCAAAAAAAAAAAAAAAACUAAAGCAAAUUUCUGGGGAAGCCAGCUGUAGUCAGGAGAUUGCAGAAAAUUUGUAAGUUCAGGGGAACCGAGGCUGGGUGACACGGCUUAGGCUGGAGAGGAAAGUUCAACCUGUCCGAUUUUGGGUUAACGAUUGGAUCUGUAGGAGACGUCCAACAGAUUAUUUUAGUGCGCAUCGACAAGGUAAAUCCACGAGAGUCGGGAGAGCCAAUAUGGGGAAAUCCCAGAGUAAGCUUACAAAAUAUGAUGCACCUGUUUUGUUAAAUGAGAAGAUUGUAUGGCCAAAAAUGCAUGCAAGAUGUAGGAAAAUUGGUUAAAGAGAGAAGGAACAUUGAGUGUCAUAAGACUUAUGGUCGUAAGGGAAUGAGUUGAAGAGAAUUGUGAUGUGGGGAUGUUGUGUUUGUGUGAAAGCGGUGUGCUGGCGGUAAGUGCCCCUUGUUUAAAGAAUUGAAUAUAAUAAAGUCUAGCUACCACAACAUUUAGCAUUUAGAAUUAAUUGUAAUAUUGUAUUGUAAAAAACAGGAGCAGGAUGUAAAGCAGCCUACAGCUCCAAUAAGGCAACAAUACAAAACACCCAGCCCUCUUCUUCAUCACAGAGGCGCCCUGUUUACCGGCCAGAAGAAUCAGAAUCAUCAAGACCAUCUUCCCUAAAUUUUCUGGCUGCAAAUCAAGAAUCAGAAUCAUCAAGACCAUCUUCCCUAAAUUUUCUGGCUGCAAAUCAAGCUCAUACAACCGCUGUAACACCCGCCCCCUGGAGAGCCAGCGAACUUCAGUGUGCAGAAGCAGCUGUUCAUGCCCUGACCCCAUCUCCUGGCAGAGGACCCCAAACAAGCGAGAGUGAUUUGAUUUGAUGAGAUUUAUCAUUUUCAUGGAUUGGUUCAGCACGGAGUCAAAGAGAACCGGCAUUUUUUUAGCAGCUAGUGCUUCGCGAUGGACCAUGCAAUGUGUACAUUUCACAAGUGGAGCUACUUGCUGAACGCGAGCAGCUAGGCCACGCUCACGCCCCGUCAUUGCCUGCGCACCAUCCAUGCAUAGGCCAAUGCAUCAGUCCCAAGCCAAACCAUUUUCACGGAUAAAAAUAUCAAGGACAUUGAAAAUGGCUUCUCCUGUAGUGUGCGACUGAAGAGGCCGGCAAAACAGGACAUCCUCCUCAAUCGCCUUGUCCCGCAGAUACCUGACAUAGGUGAGGAGCUGUGCCUGCCCAGCAAUAUCAGUGGAUUCAUCCAGCUGCAGCGCGUAGUAAGGACUCUUUUUUACGAACUCUAUCAGUUGCUCUCUGAUAUCAUUGGACAUGUCUACAAUUCUCCUACGACUGUGUCAUUGGACAGGGGUAUUGCUCCGAGUUUGGCUGCUGCACUAUCGCCUAUCAUUAUUCUUGCGCUGCUGGCAAAAUGAGAGUCUCUGCGAUUGUAUGCGGUUUACCCAGUUUACCGAUUCUUUUGGCCACUACAUACGAUGCCUCCAAACACUGUUUAGACACAGUGCUGUGGACUGAAAUGGUUGCCUGUUGCUGAUGGAGGCCAUCAAGCUUUCUUUUAAAAUAUUCAGCCGGUUUAUUUUUAAUGUCAGCAUGCUUUGUUUCGAGGUGCCUUUUUAAUUUGCAGGGCUUCAUACUGUCGUUUGCCAGCACCUCGGCACACAAGACACACUGAGGUCUCAGAUCAGCCAUGACUGUAAACCCAAACUGCAGGUAUACUUCAUCGUACCUUCAAAGCUUUUUUGCUGCUGGUGGUGCGUCGGUUGGCUUGUUGGUCCUCACAAGAAAUUUCUCCAUUUUUGUUAUGUGUUUUCAAUAAAGUUUAGGCAAUAUGUAA